rnacentral:rRNA from 1 species
GGACCCGCGGCUCAUUAGCUAGUUGGUGAGGUAACGGCUCACCAAGGCAACGAUGCGUAGCCGACCUGAGAGGGUGAUCGGCCACACUGGGACUGAGACACGGCCCAGACUCCUACGGGAGGCAGCAGUAGGGAAUCUUCCGCAAUGGACGAAAGUCUGACGGAGCAACGCCGCGUGAGUGAUGAAGGUUUUCGGAUCGUAAAGCUCUGUUGUUAGGGAAGAACAAGUGCCGUUCAAAUAGGGCGGCACCUUGACGGUACCUAACCAGAAAGCCACGGCUAACUACGUGCCAGCAGCCGCGGUAAUACGUAGGUGGCAAGCGUUGUCCGGAAUUAUUGGGCGUAAAGGGCUCGCAGGCGGUUUCUUAAGUCUGAUGUGAAAGCCCCCGGCUCAACCGGGGAGGGUCAUUGGAAACUGGGGAACUUGAGUGCAGAAGAGGAGAGUGGAAUUCCACGUGUAGCGGUGAAAUGCGUAGAGAUGUGGAGGAACACCAGUGGCGAAGGCGACUCUCUGGUCUGUAACUGACGCUGA